GGAAUAUUGGACAAUGGGCGAAAGCCUGAUCCAGCAACGCCGCGUGAGGGAUGACUGCCUUCGGGUUGUAAACCUCUUUCAGCGGGGACUAAGCGAAAGCGACGGUACCCGCAGAAGAAUCACCGGCCAACUACGUGCCAGCAGCCGCGGUAAUACGUAGGGUGCGAUCGUUGUCCGGACUUAUUGGGCGUAAAGGGCUCGUAGGCGGUUUGUCACGUCGGGAGUGAAAACUCAGGGCUCAACCCUGGGCCUGCUUCCGAUACGGGCAGACUAGAGGUAUGCAGGGGAGAACGGAAUUCCUGGUGUAGCGGUGAAAUGCGCAGAUAUCAGGAGGAACACCGGUGGCGAAGGCGGUUCUCUGGGCAUUACCUGACGCUGAGGAGCGAAAGUGUGGGGAGCGAAC
rnacentral:rRNA from 1 species